AGAAUUUUGUUAGGAUUGGUUAAUAAAAUAAUUGGUUAAGGUAUAGCUAAGCAGGGCUCGAGUUUCACUGUAUAAACUGGGUCCAAAAGAAAGUUCCUUGGGAAUCAGCUCUAGGACACAGCUCCAAGAAUUCUCUGGCAGACCCCAGUACUCUGUCUAUGACACUGUGCAGAAAGUGGAGUCCCCCAGAUGGACCUGAUCCUGACUAGCUAUCAAGAAAAGUUCAUCUGUCUUAUUGGGAGUGGUCACAUGCUCUGGACUCACUUCAGCUCACUGGUUCCUGCUGCAUCAUCUGUGUUUCAUGAGCCAGA